AUUGAACGCUGGCGGCAGGCCUAACACAUGCAAGUCGAACGAGUGGCGGACGGGUGAGUAAUGUCUGGGAAACUGCCUGAUGGAGGGGGAUAACUCCUGGAAACGGUAGCUAAUACCGCAUACCCUCAGAUGUUCCCAGAUGGGAUGAGCCAGUUGGUGGGGUAACGGCUCACCAAGGCGACGAUCCCUAGCUGGUCUGAGAGGAUGACCAGCCACACUGGAAAUGAGACACGGUCCAGACGCCGACGGGAGGCAGCAGUAGGGAAUAUUGCGCAAUGGGCGAAAGCCUGAUGGAGCAAUGCCGCGUGUAUGAAGAAGGCCUUCGGGGUGUAAAGUACUGUUAGCGGGGAGGCGGUACCCGCAGAAGAAGCACCGGCUAACUCCGUGCCAGCAGCCGCGGUAAUAC
rnacentral:rRNA from 1 species